UACGUAGGAGACGAGCGUUGUCCGGAGUUACUGGGCGUAAAGGGUGCGCAGGUGGCGGCGCGCGUGGGGGGUGAAAUCGCCCGGCUUAACUGGGCGGGGGCCUUCCAGACGGCGUGGCUUGAGCAGCGGAGGGGGACGUGGAAUUCCGGGUGGAGCGGUGAAAUGCGUAGAGAUCCGGAGGAACACCGACGGCGCAGGCAGCGUCCUGGCCGCUUGCUGACACUGAGGCACGAAGGCUAGGGGAGCAAACGGG
rnacentral:rRNA from 1 species